AAUGAACGUUGGCGGCAUGGAUUAGGCAUGCAAGUCGAGCGAGAAGUGUAGCAAUACACGGAAAGCGGCGGAAGGGAGAGUAAUACGUGGGAAUCUGCCCUUAGACCUGGGAUAGCAGCGGGAAACUGCUGGUAAUACCAGAUAAUGUCUAUGGACCAAAGGUGUGAUUCCGUCUAGGGAUGAGCCCACGUCCUAUUAGCUAGUUGGUAGGGUAAUGGCCUACCAAGGCGAUGAUGGGUAGCGGGUGUGAGAGCAUGACCCGCCUCACUGGGACUGAGACACGGCCCAGACACCUACGGGUGGCUGCAGUCGAGAAUCUUCGGCAAUGGGCGCAAGCCUGACCGAGCGAUGCGGCGUGCGGGAUGAAGGCCUUCGGGUUGUAAACCGCUGUCGAGGGGGAGCAACUUCCAUAGAGUUAUCUUUAUGGAUUGAGUGAUCCCUGGAGGAAGGACGGGCUAAGUUCGUGCCAGCCGCCGCAGUAAUAC
rnacentral:rRNA from 1 species